AACAGACCAGGAAGGCAGCAGCCCUGCCCACCAGGAGCCAGCUAUCACAGACACUGGCAGCUGGCUCAGCUCUGCAGGUAAGGCCCUGAUACCUUCUCUCUGGGGACAGAAGGAGGCUUCACAGGCUGUGUGGUACUGUCUGUGACCUAAGAUUUUGGCUUGGGGAGUGUGAGGAUUUCUAUCUGGGGCCCUGAUUUGGAUCCUGUGGACAUUUCUGCACUGCAUAACACUCUCUUCUCUUGUCUGGGUCUUCAUGGCUAUGGAAGCUGCAGAAGUCAUGAGCUACGCUCCUGGAAAGCAAAUGGAACCUGCUCCUUCUGACCCUCCACAGGUCCAUCCUGAGACCUUGUUAAUGCAGGUGUUGAUGUAGGAGCCAGGAAGGGACGGGGCUGUUACAGAGAUCCUCUGCAGAGUCAGCACGGCUGCCAUGCUCCCAUCAGACUGCAGAGCCAUUAGUUUCAGGGACCCCACUUCCCUUGUAAAUUCCAUGGAUUGGAAAGCAGGGCCACACUGUCUCCUACGCAGGAGGAUGAGACACCUGCUCAGACACUGACUCAUUUCACUGCUCCACCAACAGACUAGCCUAUGUUCUGGGGAAAUAAUCUUAAAAUAAAGUAUUAUCUGGGGCUUUUCCUAAGAAAUGGUUGCCUCAGUUUGACAAAUGGUGAAGCUGGAUGAAGACCCUGUACAUCUGCAGACAUGUCAGUGCCCUGGGGACAUGAGGCAAAGCUUCAACACCUCCCUCCCCUGCUCUCUAUGGAGAGCCAGGAGCAAUCGCCAUUACAAGAUGGCGCUGGCUUCCGUAGUGCCUAACUGCUAAACAAGUAAUGUGUGCAGGUGCAAGAGUAAAUUCGUGCAAGCCGGGGCAUAGCAAUGGGGUGAUGGGCAAGCAACCAAUCAGAUGCUGACACGCCACACGGAGGGGUAUAUAAGCAGCACCAUUUUCCGGGUUCGGGGUCUUCCUGAGAUUAAGCAAUAAAAAGCUUUGCUGUAGAAGG
rnacentral:lncRNA from 1 species